CCUACUGUAAACACACAGUCCAGUUCAUAGUGAAUGAUGACAGGUCCUACUGUAAACACACAGUCCAGUUCAUAGUGAAUGAUGACAGGUCCUACUGUUUGUAAACACAGUCCAGUUCAUAGUGAAUGAUGGCAGGUCCUACUGCCUGUAAACACACAGUCCAGUUCAUAGUGAAUGAUGGCAGGACCUACUGUCUGUAAACACACAGUCCAGUUCAUAGUGAAUGAUGACAGGUCCUACUGCCUGGAAACACACAGUCCAUUCAUAGUGAAUGAUGGCAGUAAAGCAGGACCAACUGCUGUAAACACACAGUCCAGUUCAUAGUGAAUGAUGACAGUAAAGCAGGUCCUACUGCUGUAAACACACAGUCCAGUUCAUAGUGAAUGAUGACAG
rnacentral:lncRNA from 1 species